CUCGAAUUAAAAAGAGUUAAAUUGGUUUGGAUUUUACUGUGGAAUAAGUAUUUAUAAAACCGAUUUAGGGGCUAAAUGUUAGUCGUUUUUUAAUAUAUCUAGUUGUUUAAGAAAUGCUUUUAAUGUAGCUGUAAAUUUUAGAGUUUAUUUGUUAAAUAUAAGAAGUUUAUUAGUUAGAAUAGUGGGGAUAAGCUUACUAUUAUGUUUAUAAUAUAGGAGUGAAUAGUACUUGCGUAGGAUUAGAAUUUUUCAUCUUUAGUAUGUUAUAAUUAAUUUAUUUUGAUAAGGAUUUUUUGGUUUUUAAGUUUAUAUUGAACAUAAGGGGAUAAUUUCUUCCUUUUGUUAUAAUGAUAGAAUUAGUAUAAUUAAGGGUAAGUUUUUUUAAUGUGGGUUUGACUAUAAAAAGGAAUUCGGCAAAUAUUUUUUCCGCCUGUUUAUUAAAAACAUGGUUUCUUGAUUAUGAUUUGAGAUCAUACCUGCCCAAUGAUGAUUUAAAUGGCCGCGGUAUUUUGACCGUGCGAAGGUAGCAUAAUCAUUAGUUCUUUAAUUGUGGACUUGUAUGAAUGGUUUGACGAGAAAAAAUCUGUCUCUUUUUAGAGUGUAGAAUUUUAAUUUUGAGUUAAAAUGCUUAAAUUUUUUUAAGGGACGAGAAGACCCUAUAGAGUUUUAUAAUAGAAUGGUUUUUGUUCAAGGUUGUUUACAUAGGAAGCAUUUGUAUUAUUUUGUUGGGGUGACUAGAAAACUUGAUGAACUUUUCUUUUUAGGAAAUACUUAUUUGUGAAUUUAUGAUCCAUAAUUUUUGAUUAUAAGAUUAAAUUACCUUAGGGAUAACAGCGUAAUCUUUUCUAAGAGUUCUUAUUUAAGGGAGGGGUUGCGACCUCGAUGUUGGAUUAAAAUUAUUAUAAGGUGCAGAAGCUUUAUGAGUGGGUCUGUUCGACCUUUGAAUUUUUACAUGAUCUGAGUUUAGACCGGCGUGAGCCAGGUUGGUUUCUAUCUUUAAAAUGUUAGAUUGGGUUAGUACGAGAGGACCACUUAAU
rnacentral:rRNA from 1 species